rnacentral:misc_RNA from 1 species
AGGGAUCAUUACUGAGUGAGGGCCUUCGGGCUCGACCUCCAACCCUUUGUGAACACAACUUGUUGCUUCGGGGGCGACCCUGCCGUUUCGACGGCGAGCGCCCCCGGAGGCCUUCAAACACUGCAUCUUUGCGUCGGAGUUUAAGUAAAUUAAACAAAACUUUCAACAACGGAUCUCUUGGUUCUGGCAUCGAUGAAGAACGCAGCGUAGCCAGCACAGAUGUGGAAGUAAAAGUCGUAACAAG